CCACAUUCCCCGGGGAGCCGUCACGGCUGAGAGUGCGCACCGCGCAGACCCGAAUACCUGAUCCGGAUCAUGCCGGCGGAGGAAGGGCUUCAUGACUUCAC
rnacentral:ncRNA from 2 species